rnacentral:tRNA from 1 species
GGGCCUGUGGUCUAGCGGUUAUGACGUCACCUCGACAUGGUGAAGGUCCCCGGUUCGAGUCCGGGCAGGCCCA